AUAUUCAAACAAUUUAAAAUAAAUUUAGUAUGUCAGAGUGUAAACCUGUGAUCAAUUAGCAGACGUAUUAACGAAACCGCUACCAGCCAUAAGAUUUCUACAGCUCAGAGAUGGGAUGGGCUUAAAAUAAAACUAUUAUAAAAAUAUUUAAUA